UACGUAGGGUGCAAGCGUUUAAUCGGAAUUACUGGGCGUAAAGCGUGCGCAGGCGGUCCGUUAAGACAGAUGUGAAAUCCCCGGGCUUAACCUGGGAACUGCAUUUGUGACUGGCGGACUCGAGUAUGGCAGAGGGGGGGUAGAAUUCCACUGUAGCAGUGAAAUGCGUAGAGAUGUGGAGGAACACCGAUGGCGAAGGCAGCCCCCUGGGUCAAG
rnacentral:rRNA from 1 species